CAGCCGCCACGGUAAUACGGAGGGUGCAAGCGUUAUCCGGAUUUAUUGGGUUUAAAGGGUCCGUAGGCGGACUUAUAAGUCAGUGGUGAAAGCCUGUCGCUUAACGAUAGAACUGCCAUUGAUACUGUAAGUCUUGAGUAUAUUUGAGGUAGCUGGAAUAAGUAGUGUAGCGGUGAAAUGCAUAGAUAUUACUUAGAACACCAAUUGCGAAGGCAGGUUACCAAGAUAUAACUGACGCUGAGGGACGAAAGCGUGGGUAGCGAACAGGAUUAGAUACCCGCGUAGUCCCUGUCUCUUAUAU
rnacentral:rRNA from 1 species